GGAAAAGAAACUAACAAGGAUUCCCCUAGUAACGGCGAGUGAAGCGGGAUGAGCUCAAAUUUAAAAUCUUGCAGCCUCAGGUUGUACGAGUUGUAGUCUAGAGAAUCGUUUUCCGCGUUGGCCUGUGUACAAGUCCCUUGGAACAGGGCGUCAUAGAGGGUGAGAAUCCCGUCCUUGACACAGACUACCAAUGCUUUGUGAUGCGAUCUCGAAGAGUCGAGUUGUUUGGGAAUGCAGCUCAAAAUGGGUGGUAAAUUCCAUCUAAAGCUAAAUAUUGGCGAGAGACCGAUAGCGAACAAGUACCGUGAGGGAAAGAUGAAAAGCACUUUGGAAAGAGAGUUAAACAGUACGUGAAAUUGUUAAAAGGGAAACGAUUGAAGUCAGUCAUGCUCUCCGAGACUCAGCCGAUUCUGUCGGUGUACUUCUCGGUUGGCAGGCCAGCAUCAGUUUCGAUCUGUGGAAAAGGUUGGAGAGAAUGUGGCAUCUUCGGAUGUGUUAUAGCUCUCCUUCGAAUACAUAGAGCGGGACUGAGGAACGCAGCGUGCCCUUUAUUGGGUUGGCCUUUGGGUACAUACACGCUUAGGAUGCUGGCAUAAUGGCUUUAAACGACCCGUCUUA
rnacentral:rRNA from 1 species